GGCCGCGGAGGGCGGUGGCCUGGCCCGGCCCGCGUGCGCAGCAGGCCCCGGCUGCCCCGAAACCGCCGCUUUUUGGCACCAAGGUGGAAGAGCAGCCAGAGAGGAAGCUUGGAGGGGCCUGAGCGCUGGCGGGCCUCGGUAAAGCCGUGUACAAAAUGGAACCUCAUCACCCUUCAUUUAACCUCGCAGCUCCGCAGUGGAGGAGAAAAAUGAGAACAGUGUCUAUUUUAGAGACGAGCGAGUUGAGCUUGUUAAAUGCUGACAGCCGGCAUGAUGUUGCACAAGACAUGAGAAACGACAGCAGGAAAAUUCCGAAGAAACAUAACUAAGGAUGUGUCCCCCUGGAAACCAGACAGCAGAUUCAGUGUCUUGGAUUCAUGAACGCAGUAUUCAUUGCAGGUGGGGGAAACAGCUAACUUAUAUCAAGGUAAGCUUUAUUUUCCUUUGUAAAACGCCCUGAUGU
rnacentral:lncRNA from 1 species